rnacentral:lncRNA from 1 species
CCCAACAUCCAAGAAACUCACCCCUUAAUAAAAAUCCUUAACCACUCAUUCAUUGAUGGCACCAUCAAAUAUUUCCACAUGGUGAAAUUUUGGCUCACUUCCAGGUGUUUGCCUGGCCCGACAAAUCAUUACAGGACUAUUCCUAGCCAUGCAUUACACAUCAGACACAAUAACUGCUGUCUCCUCCAUCACACACAUCUGCUGAGAGGUGAAUUCCAGCUGAAUUAUUUGGUAUCUACAUGCCAACAGAGCCUCAAUAUUCUUUAUGUGUUUAUUCUGACAUGUAGGAUGAGGCCUAUAGUAUGGAUCUUAUACUCUUCUAGAAACCUGACAUGUUGGUAUUUUCCUAUUAUUUGUGGUAAUAGCAACAGCAUUUAUAGGUUACAUCUUGCCAUGAGGACAAAUAUCUUUUUGAGUUGCAACAGUAAUCACCAAUCUGCUGUCACUAUUCCAUACACUGGCACUGACCUAGUACAAUGAAUCUGAGGUGUGUUUUCUGUUGAUAAAACUACCCUCACAUGAUUCUUUGCCUCUACUUCAUUUUACCCUUAAUCAUUGCAGCCCUAGAAGCCAUCCACCUUUUAUUUCUCCAUGUAACAGUGUCUAAUAACUCCUUGGGAAUUUCAUCAGAUUCUGAUAAAAUCCCUUUUCAGCCUCAUUUUACAAUCAAAGACAUUUUAGGCCUAAUUCUACUACUGCUAUUAAUUAUAUUAGUUCUAUUUUCACCUGACCUGUUAGGCGAUCCAGACAACAAUACCCCAGCAAACCCCCUCAACACACCGCCCCAUAUUAAACCAGAGUGAUUCUUUUCUUUUUUGCCUGCACAAUCUUAUGCUCUGUUCCCAAGAAACUAUGGGCCUACUAGCCCUCGUUCUCUCCAUUCUUACCCUAGCCAUUGUCCCAAUACUUCACAUGUCCAAACAACAAAGUAUAAUAUUUUGACCAUUAAGUCAAUGCCUAUUUUGAAUCCUAGUAGCAGAUCUUCUCACACUCACAUGAAUCAGAGGCCUACCCAUUGAACACCUCUUCAUAAUCAUCGGUCAAACAGCAUGCAUUGCAUACUUCUCCCUCAUCCUUUAUUUUUUUGUAUACCAUUUACUAGUCUAACUGAAAACAAGUUACUUAAAUGA